AACGAACGCUGGCGGCAGGCCUAACACAUGCAAGUCGAGCGCCCCUUCGGGGGAGCGGCGGACGGGUUAGUAACGCGUGGGAACAUACCCUUUUCUACGGAAUAGCCUCGGGAAACUGAGAGUAAUACCGUAUACGCCCUUCGGGGGAAAGAUUUAUCGGAGAAGGAUUGGCCCGCGUUAGAUUAGAUAGUUGGUGGGGUAACGGCCUACCAAGUCUACGAUCUAUAGCUGGUUUGAGAGGAUGAUCAGCAACACUGGGACUGAGACACGGCCCAGACUCCUACGGGAGGCAGCAGUGGGGAAUCUUGGACAAUGGGGGAAACCCUGAUCCAGCCAUGCCGCGUGAGUGAUGAAGGUCUUAGGAUCGUAAAGCUCUUUCGCCAGAGAUGAUAAUGACAGUAUCUGGUAAAGAAACCCCGGCUAACUCCG
rnacentral:rRNA from 1 species